rnacentral:rRNA from 1 species
CAAGGCUGAGGCGUGAUGACGAGGCACUACGGUGCUGAAGCAACAAAUGCCCUGCUUCCAGGAAAAGCCUCUAAGCAUCAGGUAACAUCAAAUCGUACCCCAAACCGACACAGGUGGUCAGGUAGAGAAUACCAAGGCGCUUGAGAGAACUCGGGUGAAGGAACUAGGCAAAAUGGUGCCGUAACUUCGGGAGAAGGCACGCUGAUAUGUAGGUGAAGUCCCUCGCGGAUGGAGCUGAAAUCAGUCGAAGAUACCAGCUGGCUGCAACUGUUUAUUAAAAACACAGCACUGUGCAAACACGAAAGUGGACGUAUACGGUGUGACGCCUGCCCGGUGCCGGAAGGUUAAUUGAUGGGGUUAGCCGCAA